UAGGGAAUCUUCCGCAAUGGACGCAAGUCUGACGGAGCAACGCCGCGUGAGUGAAGAAGGUUUUCGGAUCGUAAAACUCUGUUGGUAGAGAAGAACGUUGGUGAGAGUGGAAAGCUCAUCAAGUGACGGUAACUACCCAGAAAGGGACGGCUAACUACGUGCCAGCAGCCGCGGUAAUACGUAGGUCCCGAGCGUUGUCCGGAUUUAUUGGGCGUAAAGCGAGCGCAGGUGGUUUAUUAAGUCUGGUGUAAAAGGCAGUGGCUCAACCAUUGUAUGCAUUGGAAACUGGUAGACUUGAGUGCAGGAGAGGAGAGUGGAAUUCCAUGUGUAGCGGUGAAAUGCGUAGAUAUAUGGAGGAACACCGGUGGCGAAAGCGGCUCUCUGGCCUGUAACUGACACUGAGGCUCGAAAGCGUGGGGAGCAAACAGGAUUAGAUACCCUCGUAGUCCCUGAGCGGGCUGGCAAGGCGCAU
rnacentral:rRNA from 1 species